rnacentral:rRNA from 1 species
UAGGGAAUUUUUCACAAUGAGCGAAAGCUUGAUGGAGCAAUGCCGCGUGAACGAUGAAGGUCUUUAAGAUUGUAAAGUUCUUUUAUUUGGGAAGAAUGACUUUAGCAGGUAAUGGCUAGAGUUUGACUGUACCAUUUUGAAUAAGUGACGACUAACUAUGUGCCAGCAGUCGCGGUAAUACAUAGGUCGCAAGCGUUAUCCGGAUUUAUUGGGCGUAAAGCAAGCGCAGGCGGAUUGAAAAGUCUGGUGUUAAAGGCAGCUGCUUAACAGUUGUAUGCAUUGGAAACUAUUAAUCUAGAGUGUGGUAGGGAGUUUUGGAAUUUCAUGUGGAGCGGUGAAAUGCGUAGAUAUAUGAAGGAACACCAGUGGCGAAGGCGAAAACUUAGGCCAUUACUGACGCUUAGGCUUGAAAGUGUGGGGAGCAAAUAGGAUUAGAUACCCUAGUAGUCCUCACCGUAAACGAUAGAUACUAGCUGUCGGGGCGAUCCCCUCGGUAGUGAAGUUAACACAUUAAGUAUCUCGCCUGGGUAGUACAUUCGCAAGAAUG